AGUGAACGCUGGCGGUAGGCCUAACACAUGCCAGUCGAACGGCAGCACAGUAAGAGCUUGCUCUUACGGGUGGCGAGUGGCGGACGGGUGAGGAAUACAUCGGAAUCUACUUUUUCGUGGGGGAUAACGUAGGGAAACUUACGCUAAUACCGCAUACGACCUACGGGUGAAAGCAGGGGAUCUUCGGACCUUGCGCGAUUGAAUGAGCCGAUGUCGGAUUAGCUAGUUGGCGGGGUAAAGGCCCACCAAGGCGACGAUCCGUAGCUGGUCUGAGAGGAUGAUCAGCCACACUGGAACUGAGACACGGUCCAGACCCCUACGGGAGGCAGCAGUGGGGAAUAUUGGACAAUGGGCGCAAGCCUGAUCCAGCCAUACCGCGUGGGUGAAGAAGGCCUUCGGGUUGUAAAGCCCUUCUGUUGGGAAAGAAAAGCAGCAGGUUAAUACCCCGCUGUUCUGACGGUACCCAAAGAAUAAGCACCGGCUAACUUCGUG
rnacentral:rRNA from 1 species